rnacentral:rRNA from 1 species
UACGUAGGUGGCGAGCGUUGUCCGGAAUUACUGGGUGUAAAGGGCGUGUAGGCGGGUCUGAAAGUCAGAUGUGAAAGCCCAUGGCUUAACCAUGGAACUGCAUCUGAAACUUCAGAUCUUGAGUACUGGAGAGGAAAGCGGAAUUCCUAGUGUAGCGGUGAAAUGCGUAGAUAUUAGGAGGAACACCAGUGGCGAAGGCGGCUUUCUGGACAGAAACUGACGCUGAGGCGCGAAAGCGUGGGGAGCAAACAGGAUUAGAUACCCUGGUAGUCCACGCCGUAAACGAUGGAUACUAGGUGUAGGAGGUAUCGACCCCUUCUGUGCCGGAGUUAACACAAUAAGUAUCCCACCUGGGGAGUACGGCCGCAAGGUUGAA